UUUACCUUGAGGAGGCCUUUAUUCAAGUCACAUUGGAAGACUGAGAGGACAUUAGCUGCUGACCUGGGUUGCUGUGCUCUUCCUGAACUAUCUCACACCUAAUCUUCAACUUGAUGCCUGUGACCACACUAUGACAGCAGUCUCCAGCCUGUUGCACAUUAGAAUCACCUGAGGAAUUUUCAGAAAUGCUAAUGCUUGGGUUUCACCCCAGAACACUUGAAUCAGGGUUUCUGGUGGUGGGCCUAGGAUUUGGGUCUUUAAAAAUCUCCCCAGGUGAAGACGAAGUAAGAAGACAGGCCAUCUGUGAAUGAGGAAGCAGGCCCUCACUGGACAUUAGAUCUGCCGGUGCCUGGAUCUUGAAUCUGCUGGUGC